GGCUGGUUGGCUCAGUUGGUUAGAGCACAGUGCUCAUAACACUCAGGUCGCUGGUUCGAGUCCCACACGGGCCA